rnacentral:rRNA from 1 species
CGAACGCUGUUGGUGGUCCCUAAAACAAGCAAGUCGAGCGGAGAUAUAAAAGCUGACUUUUGAAUAUCAGCGGCGGACGGGUGAGUAACACGUGGGCAACUGGCCUGUAAGACUGGGAUAACUUGCGGAAACGUGAGCUAAUCCCGGAUAACAUCUUUUCUCGCAUGAAGAGAGAUUAAAAGACGGUUUCGGCUGUCACUUACAGAUGGGCACGCGGCGCAUUAGCUAGUUGGUGAGGUAACGGCUCACCAAGGCAACGAUGCGUAGCCGACCUGAGAGGGUGAUCGGCCACACUGGGACUGAGACACGGCCCAGACUCCUACGGGAGGCAGCAGUAGGGAAUCUUCCGCAAUGGACGAAAGUCUGACGGAGCAACGCCGCGUGAGUGAUGAAGGUUUUCGGAUCGUAAAACUCUGUUGUCAGGGAAGAACAAGUAUCGGAGUAACUGCCGGUACCUUGACGGUACCUGACCAGAAAGCCACGGCUAACUACGUGCCAGCAGCCGCGGUAAUACGUAGGUGGCAAGCGUUGUCCGGAAUUAUUGGGCGUAAAGCGCGCGCAGGCGGUCUCUUAAGUCUGAUGUGAAAGCCCCCGGCUCAACCGGGGAGGGUCAUUGGAAACUGGGAGACUUGAGUGCAGAAGAGAAGAGUGGAAUUCCACGUGUAGCGGUGAAAUGCGUAGAGAUGUGGAGGAACACCAGUGGCGAAGGCGACUCUUUGGUCUGUAACUGACGCUGAGGCGCGAAAGCGUGGGGAGCGAACAGGAUUAGAUACCCUGGUAGUCCACGCCGUAAACGAUGAGUGCUAAGUGUUAGAGGGUUUCCGCCCUUUAGUGCUGCAGCAAACGCAUUAAGCACUCCGCCGUGGGAU